AGUGAACGCUGGCGGUAGGCCUAACACAUGCAAGUCGAACGGCAGCACAGUAAGAGCUUGCUCUUACGGGUGGCGAGUGGCGGACGGGUGAGGAAUACAUCGGAAUCUACUUUUUCGUGGGGGAUAACGUAGGGAAACUUACGCUAAUACCGCAUACGACCUACGGGUGAAAGCAGGGGAUCUUCGGACCUUGCGCGAUUGAAUGAGCCGAUGUCGGAUUAGCUAGUUGGCGGGGUAAAGGCCCACCAAGGCGACGAUCCGUAGCUGGUCUGAGAGGAUGAUCAGACACACUGGAACUGAGACACGGUCCAGACUCCUACGGGAGGCAGCAGUGGGGAAUAUUGGACAAUGGGCGAAAGCAUGAUCCAGCAAUACCGCGUGGGUGAAGAAGGCCUUCGGGUUGUAAAGCCCUUUUGUUGGGAAAGAAAAGCAGCAGGUUAAUACCCCGCUGUUCUGACGGUACCCAAAGAAUAAGCACCGGCUAACUUCGUG
rnacentral:rRNA from 1 species